rnacentral:rRNA from 1 species
GCCGUUACCUUUGAACGGGUAACCUAACCCAGAAAAGCCCACGGGCUAAACUACGUGCCAGCAGCCCGCGGUAAUACGUAGGUGGCAAGCGUGUCCGGGAAUUAUUGGGCGUAAAGGGCUCGCAGGCGGUUUCUUAAGUCUGAUGUGAAAGCCCCCGGCUCAACCGGGGAGGGUCAUUGGAAACUGGGGAACUUGAGUGCAGAAGAGGAGAGUGGAAUUCCACGUGUAGCGGUGAAAUGCGUAGAGAUGUGGAGGAACACCAGUGGCGAAGGCGACUCUCUGGUCUGUAACUGACGCUGAGGAGCGAAAGCGUGGGGAGCGAACAGGAUUAGAUACCCUGGUAGUCCACGCCGUAAACGAUGAGUGCUAAGUGUUAGGGGGUUUCCGCCCCUUAGUGCUGCAGCUAACGCAUUAAGCACUCCGCCUGGGGAGUACGGUCGCAAGACUGAAACUCAAAGGAAUUGACGGGGGCCCGCACAAGCGGUGGAGCAUGUGGUUUAAUUCGAAGCAACGCGAAGAACCUUACCAGGUCUUGACAUCCUCUGACAAUCCUAGAGAUAGGACGUCCCCUUCGGGGGCAGAGUGACAGGUGGUGCAUGGUUGUCGUCAGCUCGUGUCGUGAGAUGUUGGGUUAAGUCCCGCAACGAGCGCAACCCUUGAUCUUAGUUGCCAGCAUUCAGUUGGGCACUCUAAGGUGACUGCCGGUGACAAACCGGAGGAAGGUGGGGAUGACGUCAAAUCAUCAUGCCCCUUAUGACCUGGGCUACACACGUGCUACAAUGGACAGAACAAAGGGCAGCGAAACCGCGAGGUUAAGCCAAUCCCACAAAUCUGUUCUCAGUUCGGAUCGCAGUCUGCAACUCGACUGCGUGAAGCUGGAAUCGCUAGUAAUCGCGGAACAGCAUGCCGCGAUGCUG